rnacentral:rRNA from 2 species
GCGACCCCAGGAUGGGCGAGGCCACCCGCUGAUUUUAAAGCAUAA